rnacentral:rRNA from 1 species
CCCUUAGAUGUUCUGGGCUGCACGCGCGCUACACUGAUGCACUCAACGAGUUUACGACCUUGCCCGAUAGGGUUGGGUAAUCUUUUUAAAAUGCAUCGUGAUGGGGAUAGAUUAUAGCAAUUAUUAAUCUUCAACGAGGAAUUCCUAGUAAGCGCGAGUCAUCAGCUCGUGCUGAUUACGUCCCUGCCCUUUGUACACACCGCCCGUCGCUCCUACCGAUUGAGUGCUCAGGUGAAUAAUUCGGACUGCAGCAAUGUUUGGAUCCCGAACGUUGCAGCGGAAAGUUUAGUGAACCUUAUCACUUAGAGGAAGGAGAAGUCGUAACA